UUUGUUUUGUUUUGUUUUGCGGGGGCUGUUCUGUGCAUCGUAGUGAGUUUAGUGGCAUCCUUGACCUCCAUCCCCUGGAGGCCACUCUCCCCUCAGAUACUGCCAAAUGCUGCCCAGAGGGUAAAAAUCACUCUCCCUUCCUGGCAGAGAACCAAGGGUCUACAGAAUGAAACCCACACUCAGCAAAGAGCACAGGUGUAGAGCUAGAGAAUGUGAGAAUGUCCCAGUGACAUUUAAGGUCCCCAUUUCAGCUGUCCCUGAGGCUCACCAAAUCCUAGUUCUUCCUGUGGACGGAUUUCAGGAACCAAUCAUUCCAUUUCUUUCCCCCUAAGCCGGCUCAAGUUGAAUUUCCCUAGUUGCACACAAGAGUAUUGUUUUCAUCUAGAAUUUCCAUUUGGAUCUUUGACAAACUGAAAACAGCUCACUUCCCUGCUCCCCACUUCCUUCCACUCCACCCCUCAUCCUGCCAAGCAGGUCCAUGAUGACAUGUAAAGACCUGUAUGCAUCAGGGUUGCCUCCUCCUGGACCAGACGGUGAGGUUUGAGGCCUGAAUGAGGGCAGAGGUAGGAAAAAUGAGGCCUGUGCCAGAUCUGAUGUGCACACAACAGAAACAGUUCCUCUCCUUCCUCCAGCGAGCAGCAGCAGAGGUCAAGGAGAAACAAGCCAACCAUUUUCAAACUACUUUCCCUCGGAAGACAAAGAGAGAGCUAUGGAUAAUGGUGAGCAGAGUUCAUUCUGGUCAAAAUAUAGGAAAGAGCCAAAAAAAUACAAAAACUACUAAAGAACCUCACCCCUUCAAUAAAUACCCUCUCUCCUUCCUGAAUCUAUUUGUCCACACUAGCACCCCAUCCCUCUGCCAUUCUGACCCCAUUAAAGCAGGAUCCUAUGCUCCUGCAACAGUCAACUAUUAA
rnacentral:lncRNA from 12 species